rnacentral:rRNA from 1 species
AGAGUUUGAUCAUGGCUCAGAUUGAACGCUGGCGGCAGGCUUAACACAUGCAAGUCGAGCGGUAACAGGAGAAGCUUGCUUCUCGCUGACGAGCGGCGGACGGGUGAGUAAUACUUAGGAAUCUACCUAGUAGUGGGGGAUAGCACGGGGAAACUCGUAUUAAUACCGCAUACGACCUACGGGAGAAAGGGGGCAGUUUACUGCUCUCGCUAUUAGAUGAGCCUAAGUCGGAUUAGCUAGAUGGUGGGGUAAAGGCCUACCAUGGCGACGAUCUGUAGCUGGUCUGAGAGGAUGAUCAGCCACACCGGGACUGAGACACGGCCCGGACUCCUACGGGAGGCAGCAGUGGGGAAUAUUGGACAAUGGGGGAAACCCUGAUCCAGCCAUGCCGCGUGUGUGAAGAAGGCCUUUUGGUUGUAAAGCACUUUAAGCAGUGAAGAAGACUCCAUGGUUAAUACCCAUGGACGAUGACAUUAGCUGCAGAAUAAGCACCGGCUAACUCUGUGCCAGCAGCCGCGGUAAUACAGAGGGUGCAAGCGUUAAUCGGAAUUACUGGGCGUAAAGGGAGCGUAGGUGGCUCUAUAAGUCAGAUGUGAAAUCCCCGGGCUUAACCUGGGAACUGCAUCUGAAACUGUAGAGCUAGAGUAUGUGAGAGGAAGGUAGAAUUCCAGGUGUAGCGGUGAAAUGCGUAGAGAUCUGGAGGAAUACCGAUGGCGAAGGCAGCCUUCUGGCAUAAUACUGACACUGAGGCUCGAAAGCGUGGGUAGCAAACAGGAUUAGAUACCCUGGUAGUCCACGCCGUAAACGAUGUCUACUAGUCGUUGGGUCCCUUGAGGACUUAGUGACGCAGCUAACGCAAUAAGUAGACCGCCUGGGGAGUACGGCCGCAAGGUUAAAACUCAAAUGAAUUGACGGGGGGCCCCCACAAGCGGUGGAGCAUGUGGGUUUAAUUCGAUGCAACGCCGAAGAACCUUACCUGGGCUUGACAUAUCUAGAAACCUGCCGAGAAGCGGGGAGGGCCUCUCGGAAAG